rnacentral:lncRNA from 1 species
UUUAGGCUACAAAGAAUGUCUCUCGAUGUGAGUGAUAAAUAGAGAAGACUGCAACCGUAGUCUCCUUCUAACCUUGGUAAGGAUAAUCUACUGUUCUAAUGGGGAGGCUAACGGAAUCUAGACACCACAAAGGAUGUUCAACCCGCACCUAUAAACCCUAUCCUUCCUGCUAACUAGAUGUGAUCUGCAAAGGUAACUCAGAAUUGUCACGUUCCUCACUACUACCACGGUCCAGCUAGUCAGGGAAUAUCUAUGAGUACCCCAGCCUAAACACCACGUUUAUGCCAGCAAUGAUUACUCUAAACUCUACAUGCAGAGAUUAAAGUAAACUCAUAAACCAUAAGAACAAUAAAACAAGAACUUACUAGAAUUUAGAAGUCGAAAUACUGAAGAAUCCUAGGAGCAAGCUUCGGGUUAGGAGAACUUGAUCCCGCAGGUACAAGCUUGGAGUAGACACCGACAGGCCGGGCUUCCUCCAAUCUACACCUCCACUCUAUCUCUCUCAAUCUAGUAGAAACUAGAAGAUCUAUUUCUACCUUACAUUGGUUGCUAAGCCUAAAAAGAAAUAUUAAUUAGAGAAGAGGUUUUCCUUCGAGGGCACCCCUCAAUCUGUAUGAUAAUUUCUUGUUCUCCUCCAGGGGCUAGGGGCCUUGCUUAUAUAGUCCUCCUCCUCUGUGCGUUUUUGGUUCAGCAGGCGAUGUGGUACUAAACUUUGCACCCUAUCUCAUUAAAAUGCACAUAGAUCUUAAUGGACCAAAAUCUGAUUUGGGCCCAAUUAAUCCCGCAGCUCUUUUAUGUGGAGUCCUUCUUUUAUUAAUAUCUAUUGAUUCCGAACUCCAAAUAUAACAAAUAAUAUAUGCAUUUCGAUCAGCUCGACAAGAUCUUUGCAAUGGUGGACUCCAUUCUGUGAUUGGUGGAAACACCUGGGCGGGCGCCCAAGGGGGGUGGGCGGGCGCCCUGCCCCGGGCCCGUUUGCCUUCUCGUUCGUUCCCGUGGCUUCUGGAAUCUUCUAGAUGAUAGAAAAUUGCGCGGUGCGUUGAUAUCUCUAUGUAAUCCCGACAUGUGGGCCUUUCUUCCGUAUUUCCUGAUAACCCCCUGCAGAAAUAGACAAACACCAAAACUCGUGGAAUUCUGUCAGAUAAAACCCUAAGUCUAGAUGUUGAUUUCAUUUGGAUCCUUUUCUUUGUUUAUUUGAUAAUUAAAUUUGAUACUUAAGGACCGUCAACAAACUCCCCCAAGCUUACUUCUUGCUCGUCCCUGAGCAAGGAUAGACUCAGCAAUGGAUUAGAAGUUGUUGCAAUAUCUUUAAAAAUUCACGGUACACAUGCUUUUUAAAUAAGAUCUCAUCUCUGAGAUAGAGUAAACUGUCAAGACUUAAAACUUACUUUAGCUUCACCAUGGGACUUGUAACCGUCACUUCUGUCUUGAGAGGUUAAAAGAUAGAACAGUCUAGCCAAGUGCGAUGUCUCUUAUUCUUGAUCAGCUAUAGCUCUGGGUUUUUUUUUUGUAGAUUUUCAAAUAAAACUCAGAGAUUCCUUGUAUGACUCUCUCUAGUCUCUCUUUUAUGGUAUUUCUGGAUCCUUACCAAGGCAGUAAUGGUAUAUGCCUUCUCUCAAAGUAUGUGGUAUUUUUGGUAUAAUGCAUAGUGAUAUUACCUUCUCUCUCACCCUACUCUAAUAAGGUUUUGAUAUCUGGAGCUCAUAGGUGGAGACAGCUAAUACAUACUUACAAGACAUUUAUUGCAUAGUCAAACCAUGGAUCCAGAGAAACAAAUCAAUAAGCCAAAUCAAGAUGUGCAUAUGUGGCGAAUGAAUGGUGUAUGGUGAUGAUGGUAAUAAUAAUGGUGAAAGUCUAAUUCUACUUUUCCUCUUUUGAGGGGAUACAUACCUUCCUUGCUUUUUGAAACUUUAUGAGGAGAAUGAGAUGCUCUUCUUUUUCUUUCCUCUCAGGUGGGUAUCUUGUACCCCUAAUUCUACUGUCGGACACUUGUCCAUUUUUACCUCUCGUUUCACUUUUUCUUUCUUUCGAGGUUCCGGGCACUUGCCCCUUUUUAUUUCCUCGUUUAUAUAUAUUUUUUUUCUUCUUUUUUCUUUCUUUUUUUUCAGAGCACUCAUCUCUUGAGAUAAUAUAGCAAGUGGUAGUAACCAAAAUAUUUGGAGCAUUUAUUUCACAGGGAAUAACAGGGAUAGGAAAAAUGUUUUUGACUAUUCACUCCCGGAUUAGGAGUAGAAUAUUUUUGGGUGAUUCUGGAGAUGGAAAUGGAUGGAUAUAUGUGGAUGGUACUUCCGGAGUAGAAGUAGCAUAUAUGAGUGAACGUGCAAGUGAAUCUUGAUUUAACCACAUGACAAGUUCCUAAGGGUCUACACAGCUUGACCACACUUAAUGCUCAUAAGCAGUAAAUAGUAAAUGUGUGGCUCAAAGUCUAGCAAGCAUGUAUAUAUGGCUGUGGUAGGAAUUUAAACUCUCAUCAUACAGGAACUCAUCAUGCAAUAUUUUAAAGAUUUUUCAAGAUAAAAUUUUCUAGAAUUCUAGCAUCUCUAGGAACAGAUAAACAGCAGCUCAACCUUCCCAUAUCAUAUCCGUUAACAACUUGGAUUUCAGAUCAAGUUUUCAUCCCACAAGUUUAGAUCUAGAGCAAGCUUUAAAUUAUAACAGUUAUGUCUAAACUUGAGAGGGAACUUCAAAAUUGCAAAUUAGGCAGAGCAACUAUUCAUCAUAUCCAUGCUAGAGUUUUACUAUUAAGAUUCAGAUUAGCAUAGCCACUUUAUUUAUUUAUUAAACAUACUAAGCAAAAGAUAUAUAUAAGCACAAAAUCUUUAUUUGGUUUUUCAUAGUUUAUGUAUUUUAAUAUUCUAACAUAAUAUAAGUAUAAAGAUAGGUAGAAAUACUUAGCGAGAAUAAUGGGGGUGCUUUCCCCCAAGCUGAAUUUUGACGUAAUUUCUCUUGAUGUAGCUAGCAGGUGGCAGAGGUGUAUUUGAAAGUCAGCAGCAUUCUGACAGUGAUUAGAAUGUCCUCCGUCUGCUAGUCUUCUUGAUUCUUAAAUUCUGUGGAGCUCAAAUAGACAACAAAGCUUGUGGAACUAAUUAAGUGUUAGCAUAAAUAACUAGCCUUCAUCAUGUUGAGCUUCCUUAAUAAAUGUUAUUUAUUUAGCAGGAUCAUACACUUAUUAUUAUAUAUAUAUAUAUAUUUAUAUAUUUUUAUUGUAAGAUGAAAACUUAUUUAUUUUAUUUUUAUGCCACCACAGUGAAUGUACUUAUGGGUUUUAUGCCAUGAGCAUACUCACAUGGGGCUUACUAUUUUUUAACAUUUUUAUUUUCUUUUCAAGAUAGCAUGAACCUGAUUAACUAAGCAAAUUAUAAUUAAAUAAUUGAAAGGAAAGGGUAACUACCAGGUUUACCUCUUGGCAAGGCGUUCGGUAUUUUUAUGUCCUCCGAACGGGACUCUCCGUUUUCUCAGUCGUCCUGGGAUUCGCUAGGUGGCGUAGUCGGUGAUUCCGGCGGCGCCUCUCUUCGUGUAUAACUAUCUUCUCCCUCCACACCUGACUCGGUGCUACGGUCUCCUCAGGACAGUUCUGUUCAAGCUGUAUGACUUCAGUCCUUAUCACUUUUCCUUCGUAGUCUACCCAUCCGUUCUUGAUGAUUUGCCUCCUCUUGGUUGCGGUUGCGUCGUCUUCUUGUCCUGACCUGCUUAGAGUCUUCAACUAUAUAGUUAUGGUCAGUAAAAUAGUUGCGUACCUUCUCAGAGGGGAAGUGCAUGUGGACUUCUCCGGUUCCAAUGUAGAUGAUUGCUUUGAUAGUGUUGAGGAACGGUCUUCCAAGGAUGGUGGGUGGAUCAUAUUCGUCUUCUCCCAUGUCAAUGACCUGAAAAUCUUCUGGAGCUGAAUAUAUUGGUUGUAGGGGCAUGGUUCAAUGCAGGAGCUGAUAAGUGACUGCGGCCAUUAUGUUGUCGUCAGAUCCGGUGUCGUAGAGUGUCUUCUGAAAAGAGUAUCCAUUGAUUGCGCACUCGAUGCUUGGAACACCAGGGUCGUCCUUCUUGAUCAAGAAAGGUGACUUGAGUCGACGACGUUGACCUCUUCCAACAAGGAUCCAAUGUUUUAAGUCCUCUGGACAAGACUUUCCACCAUCUUCAUCCUUUAGGUGCAUCAUUUGAUUAGGUGUGGACCUUGACGUCUGCACCUCUUGAUACGGUGUCACCCGUGUUCUUCUUUGCCCAGCAGUUCGAAGUAUGGUGUUGGCAAUAUCCUGCUCAGUGUGUUUGUGCUCAUAGAUCCAGGUCCUUCACUUGGUGGAGUCUGGGAGUUGUAAAACUCCUCCAUAUUUUGCUUGAAGUGUACCUGUUCAUAGAGACAAGGCAGAGAUCAAGUGCAUGGGCUCUGUUGGUGGAAAACACCAACAGAACCAAAAGUGUAUUUGUUCUUCUCUAACCUUAAGCAUAGUGAGCAAGACAAAGUUGAUGGAUAAUAAGAUCAUGAGUGUAGUAUUUGAAACAUUUGUCAGAUCAGAUGGCUCCACCUAAUGGAAAGAUAAUCUAUCUAUAUUUAUGUUUUGUUUAUAUCUUUCAAAUAUUGAAUGUGCAACAUAUUAGCUUAUAUGUUUAGGAGCGUGGGAUCACGAAGGUAGUACUAAGAACAAAGAUUAAAGGACUAAAUAUGUUGAAUUAAUUGAGUUGGUUAAUCUGGAGUUAUAAAUCAUACAUGUUUGUCUCUUUAUUUAUGUGAAUGCUAAAACCAAGGAGAAGCUUAUAAAAGCGAUAGUCAAGUACCUUAAGGUGUUACCUUACUUGAAGAGUGACGGUACAGUAUCAUCUUGUGGAAGCUUUCCUUUCUUAGCGGUUGUGCAUCGAGUUUGUGGUACCCUCCAUGAAUCAUCUCUUAUGAGUCACGUCUUUCUUCUGCAAAUUGUUAAACUUCAUGUGUCACUUUCUUCAUCUCCAAUGCGAGUUUAUCUCAGGACUUCCCAGGUUGAUAUUGAAAGUUUUCCUGCACGGGUUAGUCCAACAAAAUAUCCCAUAUCUACUAUAGCAUACUAUCGGCUUAAAAAUCAACCUAGACACCAUGUCUAAUUUGAUUUAGAAGGGCAUUUUAACCUAAGCACCAUGCUUAAUUUAAAAUUCCUUGGAAGUAAGAUCAUCAUUCCUAAACUAAGCACCAUGCUUAAUUAAGAGAUAAAUGAAACUAUUCCAAACCUAGACAUAUACUAAAGCAAAUAAAGGUAGCAUGAGAGCAUUUAUAGAGAUCUACUUAAGUGGAGAUGAAGUAGUGUAAUUAGUAUUUAACAAAUUGAGCAUGUCUCAAAGGUAAGGACAACCAACGUAGCAACAUGGCAAAAGAUGUUUUUUUUAUGUAAAGUACUCCCCCAAGCUUGAAUUUUACAAAAUUCAAGUUUGGAUGAAUUUAAUUCAAUGUUGUGUGAUGGUUGGUUGGACAUACCCUGUGCUUGUCAUUCAUCCGAUCUUCUUGCUCCAAUCCUGGAAAGGUUAGUGACAAGAAUACCCAAAGGAAUAUUUCUACAAUUAUCUUUAUAUGCUCAAUACACACGGCAAUGUUGCAAAUAAUUAGAAGUUCAUGUUAUGAUCUGAUAAGUGUUUGUUUUAGGACACUAAGCUUGUUCUUGGGAAACCAUCAAGUUAUGUUGGUGAAGUGGUUUCCCCUCCAACACCUACCUAUAUCAAGAUCAACUCAACGAGAUCUGCAAUAUUUAUUAUAGACAUAUGCAUCGACAACCGCCCUUUUAAAGUUUUUAUAAAUGAAGAGGAAGAGGGGGUUGGAGAUCUCAAAUGUGGUAAGGAUGGAGAGACAAAUUGAUUGGAGAGAUGUUUUAUAUGAGCAAGGACUGGGUGAGGUAUUUAUGAAAUAACUUCCAUACUUACUGUUGUUUCUCUCAUUCUUAAACUCCAAGGAUGAUUCUUCAUGAACGCUUAAAAUUCCUCUAGGAUUGUCUCUUAAGUUUGUUUUAUCUAUCCAUUCAAUGGUGAUAGCACAUGGAUUUUUAAUGCCCUCUAGCCAUUGAUGUUGCUCUUCUCGAUCGUCCUUCUUAUGCAUGGGAUGUAUAGAGAGAUUCAUAGGAUUAUCGGGAGGUUCAAGAGAAAAAGCAUAGUAGAAAUUAUUAAGCUCAAGGAUGGGUUGGAUAGCCGAAUUAUGGGAUUGAAAUGUUUGGAAAUCGGCUAUUAAAACUUCCUCUCCUUGUAUGGGAGAUGAUUCCUUCUCUAUCUCUAAGAUUUUUCUAUGAAGACUAGUGCAAGAAGGAUGUCUACGAAUGAAGACAUACCUUCCUUUACUAAUAGAUAAAGAAAGAAAGACUCUACCAAAGGUUAUAUGAUUAAGACCAAUGUGAAAAUAUCUAGGAAAAACAUGGUCUUGUAGGGCUAGAUCUAAACCAGAAUUUAUAGAAAAAUUAAAAGAUUCCCUAGGUGUAGCUAAAAGUGCAUUAUCUUUUUGAUUAAAAGAUAGGACCUCAGCUAUAGAAAAGGGUUGGUUUUAACCUAUUGCAAUCAACUCCGGACACAAAUCAUAAUUAGGGGCAGGACGUGUUGACUCCCAUGGUCUAUGGCUGGUCUCCAAAGGUGCAAAGAAUUUAAUAAUAGGUAUGGAUUUUGAGUUAUCCAUAAAAAUAUAAAUAAAAAGAUAAAAGAAUAAAAGUAUAAAAGUAUAAUACAAGAUAAUAGCAAGACUCAAAGUUAUCUCAGCAAACCGUCUUUCUCCCCAGCAACGGCGCCAGAAAUGCUUGUUGAUAUUUGGUAACGCAAUAAGGAAAUGAUCCGCAAGCGCACGGAUAUCGGUGAGCAUUUCACCCGGGAGAUUAUCUAGAGUUAUCGUAUUUAUAUUUUUACCACUGGGAGAAAGGGUGCAUCUGACUAACCAAAUCUAUUGCUACUAUCCCUUUAGGCUACAAAGAAUGUCUCUCGAUGUGUGAUAAAUAGAGAAGACUGCAACUGUAGUCUCCUUCUAACCUUGGUAAGGAUAAUCUACUGUUCUAAUGGGGAGGCUAACGGAAUCUAGACACCACAAAGGAUGUUCAACCCGCACCUAUAAACCCUAUCCUUCCUGCUAACGAGAUGUGAUCUGCAAAGGUAACUCGGAAUUGUCACGUUCCUCACUACUACCACGGUCC